rnacentral:rRNA from 1 species
GACGAACGCUGGCGGCGUGCUUAACACAUGCAAGUCGAACGGAAAGGCCCUGCUUUUGUGGGGUGCUCGAGUGGCGAACGGGUGAGUAACACGUGAGUAACCUGCCCUUGACUUUGGGAUAACUUCAGGAAACUGGGGCUAAUACCGGAUAGGAGCUCCUGCUGCAUGGUGGGGGUUGGAAAGUUUCGGCGGUUGGGGAUGGACUCGCGGCUUAUCAGCUUGUUGGUGGGGUAGUGGCUUACCAAGGCUUUGGCGGGUAGCCGGCCUGAGAGGGUGACCGGCCACAUUGGGACUGAGAUACGGCCCAGACUCCUACGGGAGGCAGCAGUGGGAAAUAUUGCACAAUGGGCGGAAGCCUGAUGCAGCAACGCCGCGUGCGGGAUGACGGCCUUCGGGUUGUAAACCGCUUUCGCCUGUGACGAAGCGUGAGUGACGGUAAUGGGUAAAGAAGCACCGGCUAACUACGUG